AUACGGAGGAUGCGAGCGUUAUCCGGAUUUAUUGGGUUUAAAGGGUGCGUAGGCUGUGCUGCAAGUCAGUGGUGAAAGACCUGCGCUCAACGCAGGAAGUGCCAUUGAUACUGCAGUGCUGGAGUACCCCUGCCGUGGGAGGAAUGAGUGGUGUAGCGGUGAAAUGCAUAGAUAUCACGAAGAACUCCGAUCGCGAAGGCAUCCUCCCGGCCCGGCAAAGACGCGCAUUCUCGAACGUGCGGGUAUCAAACCGGAUUAGAUUCCCUGGUAGUCGUCACAGUAAAGGAUGGACCCCCGCGGUUUGGCCUGUGUCGCUGCGCCGUUUAGCGAAAGUGUUAAGUGUCCCACCUGGGGAGUUAGCUAGCAACGGGGAUGCUGAAAUGAAUUGACGGGG
rnacentral:rRNA from 1 species